rnacentral:lncRNA from 1 species
AGCCGGGUGUGCAGCGCCGCCCCCGCCCGCCCGACCCACUUCAUGAUGGACGGGAAGAAGAUUUUCAAGCCCCCAAAGGUGUUGAAGCACAUGGCGAACAGGAUAUUGUGGCAGGCCUCCUCCCGGGAGAUCCCCAUCCGCUCCGCCUCGUCCAGAGCCGGCGCCGCCGCCGAGUAGAAGAAGUCGUAGAGCCGCCGGUAGUCGGAUUGAACCAGGCCGGUGGGUAGGCGGACGCUGUGGAGGAGAACGUCCUCCAGCAGAUAGGGCAGGCCUAGCGUGAGAAUGGGACCGAGCUGGAAGAGAACCCAUUUGUUCACCAGACCGGGGCCGUCCGAUCCAAGCCCGCCCCCGGCGGGGUCCUUCCCGAAGAAGGCCCUGCAGACGAAGUUGAAGGAGGCCUGCUCGUUCGCCGAGCUGAAGUUGGCGGCUCCCUUCUCUGCGAGCUCCGACUCGAGGGCGUCGAACGCGGUGCCGAACGAGCUCUGGAACUCGGGGAUCAAGGUGUUCCGUGAGGACCCCAGCAGGUAGAAGAGGAAGUUCUUGAGCAGUGCGUGGUUGGGCUCCGACGGGUCGAGGUAGGAGAGCACGCGGUAGCCGCCGGUGAGAUCCAAGGAG